rnacentral:misc_RNA from 1 species
AAGUCGUAACAAGGUUUCCGUAGGUGAACCUGCGGAAGGAUCAUUAAUGAAUAACUUUGGCGUGGUUGUAGCUGGCUCUUAGGAGCAUGUGCACACCCGUCAUCUUUAUCUUUCCACCUGUGCACACAAUGUAGAUCUGGAUAACUCUCGCUCUUCGGAGCGGAAACAAGGAUUGCUGCGUCGCAAGGCCAGCUCUCUUUGAAUUUCCAGGUCUAUGUCAUUACAAACCCCAAUUGAAUGAUGAAGAAUGUAGUCAAUGGGCUCUAAGCCUAUAAAACACAAUACAACUUUCAGCAACGGAUCUCUUGGCUCUC